UUCCGCUGAGAAUAAAUUUAAGUAAAAAACAUGCACACACAGAUAAUAAUAAUAAUCAUGUUUCCAUAAAAUUGCUAAGUCCAGAGAUAAUACAUAAACAUAGUAGACUGUUCAUGACACAUAUCACGGUGGACAGUGUUUGUGUCCUUAUUACAAGCAACGAGAGAUGCUCGUCACCAACACGCGCGCGCACAGAUGCACGACAUACAUAUAGUAGAGACCAACAGAUGGUCGUCCCAUAUGGUGAACAAUUUAUUGGGGAUAAAUAUUAACGUAACUUGGCCAUAGCUUGAAGCAUAGCAACAUAUGCCUAUGAGUGGCAUUCAUGCUAUCGUUUUAGGCUUGUCCAGCUCCUUCCAUCUUAGCAAGCACUUCCAUUUCUACCAUCUUAGCAGCAACUGUCAAAUUGAGAUACGGAAAUCCCAUUAGCGCAUGAGUUAAUUUUGCAGUGGAAAUAGAGUACAAGAUGUCUUCAUGAUGUAAGUAAUAUGCCUGAAGUUGUGAGAUGGGAAGUGAAGUCAACAAAUUACAUUAACGGAAAUGCAUGGAAGGCCACACAUACGUAUUAGUCCAUGAUAUGCUACAAAGCUUGUAUGUACAUAUAGCAAAUUAAAUGCAUUAAUUGAAUAGAGUGUGUUUAGUGAAUUUACCAGAAUCGUCCAGAAAACAUGGGAAACAGCAAGUGUUCUUGCAGACUGCGUCGGAGGCACCCGCACGAAUACAAAGCUGACAACAUAGUUUUGCCUGGGCGGAUGCGCAGCAGCCGCACUCCGCCGCGGUGGGGUUAACAUUGAGGCUCAAGAUGACCAGGCACAUGAUCACCAUCAAAGUGGUAGUCCUCUUUCCCUCCAUUGCCUCCUCUUAGCUUGCUGCUACCUUCCUUGGUUACCUAGCUAAGUUUAUUGGUUUUGUGUUGAGAGGUGUGAUUUUUGAAUGGACGUUGCCGGCGGCAAUUUAUAGGCAGCUGAGCUAUGUGAUGAUAUGGACUAGGUGCAAAUGGGUGGUUAAUGGCAAGGAAAGGGGCGUCAGACAAAGCCCAAUGGCAACUGCUGACAUGCGAUUAAAUUCAGAUCCACAUCCGGCCAUUCAAUAAUACGGUUGGAGUUGUGGCACAGAUAUAUUAUUGCAUGAUCAUCAAGAUAAGAUCGUACAGUGACUGAGUGAGACAAUAAAUAGCCAAGUAAACUAUUUUAUCCUGCUGCAAGCUGCAUUCAUAAGUUUAUUUCACCUUUGAUCACAAUACUCUUCACACACGUACGUCUCAGGGAGAUCUCACUUCCGCUGGACUGCUCACUUCCGCUGUCGUCGGUACUGCCAAAGACAUAAGCUCACAUCUGCUAUUGCGGAGCAGGCCAAUUUGCUGCGGAACUUCGGCGACGACCUGAAGGACAUGAACUCGGUGCUGGAGUCCAUCUCAGCAGCGCUCUAGGACGCUGACACCGGUAGAAAAACGACCUUCCAUCGUCAACAAAAAUCCCGGUAGCUUUUUUACUCGGUACUAAAGAGGUUUUAAUCUCGUGCAAACACCUUUAGUCCAGAUUGCUAUUACCACGCAACCCGGACUAAAGCGUCCCCCGCGAGUUAGUAUAUAAGGAUUGCAUCCUUUACUCAGUCAGAUAUAAUAUGUAGGUGAGAUGGUAAGGAAGCUAUGCGUGAGGCUUCAGGUUGUGGGUUCGAAUCCAAGUGGGUGCAGCUGUGGCUUAAGCGGCUGAGGCACGCCGCCAUAGACAUCUCAGAUUUGCUCGAAGACUACCAAGACACUAGUGAACCCUUAACAGUAAAGGUGAGUACUUAUGAAUGUCAGCAUCCAUGUUGUCCAUGCUUCCAAUGUAAUAACAAGAUGGACUACUCUUCCUAGCGGACUCUUCACAACCACUCGUAAAGCUAUGCGUUUCUCAAUGCAAUUUCGUAGAAGCCAAUCGAUCCAACCAAGUGACUAAAUCAUUCGUCCUUUCCAAUGAUGUGCAUCAGGUUUUCUAUAUGAAGGGCAUGUCUAGCAAACCUAAGAUUUCAGAAGAAAAAGAAAAAUCAUUGGAGCCAAAGAGCCACAUAGUUCUUCUAGGAAAAAAAUCAUGGGAGUCGAGAACAUAUCAAACCAAUCAGGGGAUUAUGGUCAGCUUAAUGGCAUGCCUCCAUUCGAUGUCGAAGUUCACCCAAGCAUCAUGUUAGCCAAACAUCAAAUGUUCGUGCGUUGUUACGGUAAAGAUCAAUUGUGUUUUUUAAACUCUUGGAAUUUUUUUAUCUAAGUUUUUAUUUACACUUAUUGGAUGUCUACACAUUUGCUAGAAAACUAAAAUAAUUUGGACUUAAUUAUUUCUUUCAACUGAAGUACUCACUAAAUUUCUACCUUUUUAUUUAAGCAAGAGAGUUGCUAAAAAAAAUGGAUACGUAACCAUGUUGUAUCAUACAAAGUAACCACGUUUCACAUAUAGUCCGGCUUAGCAAACACCAUUGUUUUCUGAACAUAGCGUACAUGAGUUAACAGACAUGGAUUUAUUUCUAUUGCAAGUAGCAUAGCGUACAACCUGCCUGCACCGAUGCAGCUCAAUAUGCGAUAAUUUUUAUCUUCCCAUGUAAUUUUUCUACUCUAGUACAUAUUGAACUCCACAUUAAUGUCAUGUUCUUUCGCGCCCCAGAAGGUUCCUAAAGUUUGGAAACUUAAUAGAUAGCCAGAAUUUUUUUUAAAGAUAUUUAUAUGGAUACUUGUAUGUUCUUUCCAAACUAACAAUAUUGUUUACCAAUAUCAGAAGGAAUAUGGUUAGGAGCCAUUGCCGCAUAUGGCAGGUGAUGGUAGAUGGCGUAUGGGGUUUCGUUAAUUUAAUGGUAUAAUAAGCUGAAAUACAUUUUCUAUUUGCAAAUGAAUCAUAGCUGAAAUUGGUGGGAUUGUUUUUUCGCCGGUUUAGCAUCCUGUGCACCAGUUCAACCGGAGGGAAGCUGUUUUUUUUCUUUGGUUUUCCACCGGUUCACCGAGACCGAUGACAAUUUUAUGGCAGAAUCAUUACUUGUUUUACUAUUAGGUGAAGAUUUUAGCGUUUAGGUAUCUCACAUUAAACGCAACUUCAACAAUCUAUUUCUAGUGUAUAAUGUAGGAGACCCCGUAAAGAGUCUACACACACAUAUAUGUUGACUAUGAAUGUAAGUUUGUUGGUUUUAUGUAUGUUCGUUUGGAGUUUAUAUAAAUUUUACAUUUUAUAGUUUUGUGUAUAUGACGAAGAUCCAUGACUUGCAUUAAUUUAGCCUUUCUUCCAACAACUCUUAUGCAUGCUGUUUCUAGGCGAGCGUACUGGUUGCAAUUUUGGUCCCCGAUAUAGUGUGAGGACUUAAGGGACACGUGCAGGUCGUAACCUUAGAUAUUUUUGCUGAGAAUGGAUGAAGAAGCAAUAAUAUACUUUGCUUCUGAUUUUCUCCAUGUCAUUUGCUUACUCUUAUCCCUUUUAUUUAUCAUUAUAAGAUGAAAAUAUUGUAAAAACUUGGCUACGUGCGGUCGCAGAAGCUAGAGACUAAAGCGUCCCCCACGAGUUACUAUAUAAAAGGAUUGCAUCCUCUACUCAGUCAUAUGUACUGUGUAGGUGAGAUGGUAAGGAAGCUAUGUGUGAGGCUUGAGGUUGUAGGUUCGAAUCCCACGCACCGCGUGCGCAUGCGCAUAUUUUGCGUGAAAAAUCGCAUGACUUGUGGUCGGCCAAGGAGAAGUGCGUGCGGCUGAGGCACGCCGCCAUAGACAUCUCGGAUUUGCUCCAAGACUACCAAGACACUAGCGAACCCUUAACGGCAAAGUUGAGUACUUACGCGUGUUAGCAUCUAUGUUGUCCAUGCUUCCAAUGCAAUAACAAGAAGGGCUACUCAUCCUAGCGGAUUCUUCACAACCACUCGUAAAGCUAUGCGUUUCUCAAUGCAAUUUCGUAGAUGUCAAUCGAUCCAACCAAGCGACUGAAUCAUUCGUCCUUGCUAAUGAUGUGCAUCAGGUUUUCUAUAUGAAGAACAUGUCUAGCAAAUCCAAGAUUUCAGAAGAAAAAUAAAAAUCAUGAGAACCAAAGCACCACGUAGUUCUUCCAGGUAAAAAAAACAAUCAUCCACUGGGAUGACACACAGUAGCGAUCCAAAACGUCCAUAUUAAGACUUUUUGAUAGCAGAAAAAACAUGAAAAUGUCUAAUAUUUGUAGUAUUAAAAGGAAAAAUAAUAUAUUCACUUGACCUUUUUUUCGUAGCAACGCACCGGUGCGUAGUCAGACUUAGGCCACGUUUGGAUACUCCCUACUAAAGUUUAGCACCUGUCACAUAGGAUGUUUGGAUACUAAUUAGGAGUAUUAAACAUAGGCUAAUUAUAAAACUAAUUGAAUAGAUGGAGUCUAAUUUGCGAGACGAAUCUAUUAAGCCUAACUAGUCCAUGAUUUGACAAUGUGGUGCUACAGUAACCAUUUGCUAAUGGUGGAUUAAUUAGGCUUAAUAGAUUCGUCUCGCGAAUUAACAUAGGGUUCUGCAAUUAAUUUUAUAAUUAGCUCAUGUCUAGUCCUUCUAAUUAGCAUCCGAACAUCUGAUAUGAUACUGCUAAAGUUUAUCACCUAGUAUCCAAAUACCCCCUUAAUGCACGAUGCCUGUGCAUCCACUGGGCCUACCCUCGUGGAUCACGCGCUCGUGGAUCACGCGCACCAUGACAUGGCUCAUUAGCUAGUCGUGCUAAUCCUUACCACCAAAUUAAAAACUAGCAUGUGUUGUGUGUUUGUGACCCUAAACGACUACCACCUUCCCGAGUCCACCGGAGUUGCCAGUUCACCACUAAGCUGACUCUCCGAGCUUCAUGUCACUGUCACCGCUCCAAAGACCUAGAUCGGUUCGCUGUGCACCCCGCUUCGUCCUGAGCUAAAUCCCAUCACGAAAGGUGACCGGAUGCUCGUUUUCGAGCGAAUUCUAGCGAGAUUGCCACCACCUUUCCCCUUCCAGCCGAUCGCAGCUGUCUGAUCACAAACCGACAGCCCAGAUCGGAUUUGACCAGGUCAAUACCGGUCAAGCCGAGAUGCAUGCUGCUUUUGCAAGAAGGCCCCUAUUUUUCUCUCGUUUUGCACUUGAGGUCCUACGCAGUUCAAAAGUAAUUAGAUCUAGAUCCUUUUUCUUCUGUUUUAGCCCUGUUCUUUUAUAAAAUCCCACCCGCCAUCCUGUUUGGUAUUUUGACAUGUUAGACCUUCUAUUUAUAUGUUUAAUUAGGUUUUAGCCCUUGGUUUCUUUAAGUUUAGCUCUUGGAAGUUUAGUUUUCUCGCAGUUAAGCCCCUGAACCUUGUUUAGUUCAUAUCUUUAGCGUUUUAAAUCCGUUUUAAGAGAUUCUUACGCCCAUAAGUUCGUGUUGAUGCAUAGAUUAGUUGACUUAUACGGACCUUGCUGAUUCAGCUCCUUCAUUGUGCUUCAGAUCUCGCUAGUGAAGAAUAAUGGAUGGGCUUUGGUUGAGCUUGUAGAUCGACCUGCAGUUGCAGUGAAUGUGCUGAGGACUGGCGGUACCAAUAAUGGGAGGCCGCUGCUCUGCUUGCUACCAAGGCCUGCGACGCUUGGACGCCAUUCAGAGUGCAUAAUUUCCAAGGAUCUCAAGGGCUCCACACCACGUUCCAAGUGUUUUUUCUUUGCCGAGUGUUUUUAGCUCGGCACUUGGCAAAGAGCUUGUUUGCCGAGUGUCCGAAAAAAACACUUGGCAAAGAGAAAACACUCGGCAAAUUUGAUGUUUCCCGUAGUGAUGUACUAUUCAAACUUGAACUGGGAUGCAGGCUUCAGUACCAAAGAGAGCUCUGGGCGCGGGUGAGCAGUGAGCUGGCCGGGCAGGGAGCUCCAAAGCGACAGCAACAAAGAGAGAAAUGCUAAGAGUAAGAACGACACACGAGGUCACUUCACAUAGAUAAUAGCAGUACGAACCAUACAAUAUCCUCUCUCAGUUUCACUCCGCCUCACACACGGCUAGCACACCAUGCAUGCCGAUUUCAUAUUAUUAAUAUUAUUUUUUGGAUGGUUGUUGAAACUAUAUAUAUAGUUAGUCCAAUCUCACGUUUCCGAUUAUAAAAAUCAACGUAAAGAGAUCGGUAGGGAGAGCCGGCAUAAUGAAGCCGACGCGUGUAAUAAGCACCAGAGCCGGCAUUUAUACAAACUGGUACGAAUAGUAAAAAACUAGAAUUUAUAAAUAAAAAAAUGAUUUGCACAUCUAUGCAAUAAUUAGGGGUUAGUGGCAGGUCUAGAGAGAUAUCUCAUCAUUAUAUCCGGUUUAACGAGGAUAAAAAAGAGUGUAUUUUCCACUCAUCAUGUUGUCUUUUCGCAGCGGUACCACUUUUCGUGUGUUGUAUCGGUCCCCUAAUACGGAGUCUCCGAGGCCCGAGAAAAUAAGGAAAGUGAUAGUAGCCCAGAAAUCGGCCAAGUUUCUUUCCCCUUUGGCUUUCCUACUAGGAUUCAGAAUCCUCUUUCGCAUGACAAUCUUAAUUAUCUCCCAUACUCCAAAACUCACAAAAACAUCAAGAGUCCGCUGAGAAUAAAUUUAAGUAAAAAACAUGCACACACAGAUAAUAAUAAUAAUCAUGUUUCCAUAAAAUUGCUAAGUCCAGAGAUAAUACAUAAACAUAGUAGACUGUUCAUGACACAUAUCACGGUGGACAGUGUUUGUGUCCUUAUUACAAGCAACGAGAGAUGCUCGUCACCAACACGCGCGCGCACAGAUGCACGACAUACAUAUAGUAGAGACCAACAGAUGGUCGUCCCAUAUGGUGAACAAUUUAUUGGAGAUAAAUAUUAACGUAACUUGGCCAUAGCUUGAAGCAUAGCAACAUAUGCCUAUGAGUGGCAUUCAUGCUAUCGUUUUAGGCUUGUCCAGCUCCUUCCAUCUUAGCAAGCACUUCCAUUUCUACCAUCUUAGCAGCAACUGUCAAAUUGAGAUACGGAAAUCCCAUUAGCGCAUGAGUUAAUUUUGCAGUGGAAAUAGAGUACAAGAUGUCUUCAUGAUGUAAGUAAUAUGCCUGAAGUUGUGAGAUGGGAAGUGAAGUCAACAAAUUACAUUAACGGAAAUGCAUGGAAGGCCACACAUACGUAUUAGUCCAUGAUAUGCUACAAAGCUUGUAUGUACAUAUAGCAAAUUAAAUGCAUUAAUUGAAUAGAGUGUGUUUAGUGAAUUUACCAGAAUCGUCCAGAAAACAUGGGAAACAGCAAGUGUUCUUGCAGACUGCGUCGGAGGCACCCGCACGAAUACAAAGCUGACAACAUAGUUUUGCCUGGGCGGAUGCGCAGCAGCCGCACUCCGCCGCGGUGGGGUUAACAUUGAGGCUCAAGAUGACCAGGCACAUGAUCACCAUCAAAGUGGUAGUCCUCUUUCCCUCCAUUGCCUCCUCUUAGCUUGCUGCUACCUUCCUUGGUUACCUAGCUAAGUUUAUUGGUUUUGUGUUGAGAGGUGUGAUUCUUGAAUGGACGUUGCCGGCGGCAAUUUAUAGGCAGCUGAGCUAUGUGAUGAUAUGGACUAGGUGCAAAUGGGUGGUUAAUGGCAAGGAAAGGGGCGUCAGACAAAGCCCAAUGGCAACUGCUGACAUGCGAUUAAAUUCAGAUCCACAUCCGGCCAUUCAAUAAUACGGUUGGAGUUGUGGCACAGAUAUAUUAUUGCAUGAUCAUCAAGAUAAGAUCGUACAGUGACUGAGUGAGACAAUAAAUAGCCAAGUAAACUAUUUUAUCCUGCUGCAAGCUGCAUUCAUAAGUUUAUUUCACCUUUGAUCACAAUACUCUUCACACACGUACGUCUCAGGGAGAUCUCACUUCCGCUGGACUGCUCACUUCCGCUGUCGUCGGUACUGCCAAAGACAUAAGCUCACAUCUGCUAUUGCGGAGCAGGCCAAUUUGCUGCGGAACUUCGGCGACGACCUGAAGGACAUGAACUCGGUGCUGGAGUCCAUCUCAGCAGCGCUCUAGGACGCUGACACCGGUAGAAAAACGACCUUCCAUCGUCAACAAAAAUCCCGGUAGCUUUUUUACUCGGUACUAAAGAGGUUUUAAUCUCGUGCAAACACCUUUAGUCCAGAUUGCUAUUACCACGCAACCCGGACUAAAGCGUCCCCCGCGAGUUAGUAUAUAAGGAUUGCAUCCUUUACUCAGUCAGAUAUAAUAUGUAGGUGAGAUGGUAAGGAAGCUAUGCGUGAGGCUUCAGGUUGUGGGUUCGAAUCCAAGUGGGUGCAGCUGUGGCUUAAGCGGCUGAGGCACGCCGCCAUAGACAUCUCAGAUUUGCUCGAAGACUACCAAGACACUAGUGAACCCUUAACAGUAAAGGUGAGUACUUAUGAAUGUCAGCAUCCAUGUUGUCCAUGCUUCCAAUGUAAUAACAAGAUGGACUACUCUUCCUAGCGGACUCUUCACAACCACUCGUAAAGCUAUGCGUUUCUCAAUGCAAUUUCGUAGAAGCCAAUCGAUCCAACCAAGUGACUAAAUCAUUCGUCCUUUCCAAUGAUGUGCAUCAGGUUUUCUAUAUGAAGGGCAUGUCUAGCAAACCUAAGAUUUCAGAAGAAAAAGAAAAAUCAUUGGAGCCAAAGAGCCACAUAGUUCUUCUAGGAAAAAAAUCAUGGGAGUCGAGAACAUAUCAAACCAAUCAGGGGAUUAUGGUCAGCUUAAUGGCAUGCCUCCAUUCGAUGUCGAAGUUCACCCAAGCAUCAUGUUAGCCAAACAUCAAAUGUUCGUGCGUUGUUACGGUAAAGAUCAAUUGUGUUUUUUAAACUCUUGGAAUUUUUUUAUCUAAGUUUUUAUUUACACUUAUUGGAUGUCUACACAUUUGCUAGAAAACUAAAAUAAUUUGGACUUAAUUAUUUCUUUCAACUGAAGUACUCACUAAAUUUCUACCUUUUUAUUUAAGCAAGAGAGUUGCUAAAAAAAAUGGAUACGUAACCAUGUUGUAUCAUACAAAGUAACCACGUUUCACAUAUAGUCCGGCUUAGCAAACACCAUUGUUUUCUGAACAUAGCGUACAUGAGUUAACAGACAUGGAUUUAUUUCUAUUGCAAGUAGCAUAGCGUACAACCUGCCUGCACCGAUGCAGCUCAAUAUGCGAUAAUUUUUAUCUUCCCAUGUAAUUUUUCUACUCUAGUACAUAUUGAACUCCACAUUAAUGUCAUGUUCUUUCGCGCCCCAGAAGGUUCCUAAAGUUUGGAAACUUAAUAGAUAGCCAGAAUUUUUUUUAAAGAUAUUUAUAUGGAUACUUGUAUGUUCUUUCCAAACUAACAAUAUUGUUUACCAAUAUCAGAAGGAAUAUGGUUAGGAGCCAUUGCCGCAUAUGGCAGGUGAUGGUAGAUGGCGUAUGGGGUUUCGUUAAUUUAAUGGUAUAAUAAGCUGAAAUACAUUUUCUAUUUGCAAAUGAAUCAUAGCUGAAAUUGGUGGGAUUGUUUUUUCGCCGGUUUAGCAUCCUGUGCACCAGUUCAACCGGAGGGAAGCUGUUUUUUUUCUUUGGUUUUCCACCGGUUCACCGAGACCGAUGACAAUUUUAUGGCAGAAUCAUUACUUGUUUUACUAUUAGGUGAAGAUUUUAGCGUUUAGGUAUCUCACAUUAAACGCAACUUCAACAAUCUAUUUCUAGUGUAUAAUGUAGGAGACCCCGUAAAGAGUCUACACACACAUAUAUGUUGACUAUGAAUGUAAGUUUGUUGGUUUUAUGUAUGUUCGUUUGGAGUUUAUAUAAAUUUUACAUUUUAUAGUUUUGUGUAUAUGACGAAGAUCCAUGACUUGCAUUAAUUUAGCCUUUCUUCCAACAACUCUUAUGCAUGAUGUUUCUAGGCGAGCGUACUGGUUGCAAUUUUGGUCCCCGAUAUAGUGUGAGGACUUAAGGGACACGUGCAGGUCGUAACCUUAGAUAUUUUUGCUGAGAAUGGAUGAAGAAGCAAUAAUAUACUUUGCUUCUGAUUUUCUCCAUGUCAUUUGCUUACUCUUAUCCCUUUUAUUUAUCAUUAUAAGAUGAAAAUAUUGUAAAAACUUGGCUACGUGCGGUCGCAGAAGCUAGAGACUAAAGCGUCCCCCACGAGUUACUAUAUAAAAGGAUUGCAUCCUCUACUCAGUCAUAUGUACUGUGUAGGUGAGAUGGUAAGGAAGCUAUGUGUGAGGCUUGAGGUUGUAGGUUCGAAUCCCACGCACCGCGUGCGCAUGCGCAUAUUUUGCGUGAAAAAUCGCAUGACUUGUGGUCGGCCAAGGAGAAGUGCGUGCGGCUGAGGCACGCCGCCAUAGACAUCUCGGAUUUGCUCCAAGACUACCAAGACACUAGCGAACCCUUAACGGCAAAGUUGAGUACUUACGCGUGUUAGCAUCUAUGUUGUCCAUGCUUCCAAUGCAAUAACAAGAAGGGCUACUCAUCCUAGCGGAUUCUUCACAACCACUCGUAAAGCUAUGCGUUUCUCAAUGCAAUUUCGUAGAUGUCAAUCGAUCCAACCAAGCGACUGAAUCAUUCGUCCUUGCUAAUGAUGUGCAUCAGGUUUUCUAUAUGAAGAACAUGUCUAGCAAAUCCAAGAUUUCAGAAGAAAAAUAAAAAUCAUGAGAACCAAAGCACCACGUAGUUCUUCCAGGUAAAAAAAACAAUCAUCCACUGGGAUGACACACAGUAGCGAUCCAAAACGUCCAUAUUAAGACUUUUUGAUAGCAGAAAAAACAUGAAAAUGUCUAAUAUUUGUAGUAUUAAAAGGAAAAAUAAUAUAUUCACUUGACCUUUUUUUCGUAGCAACGCACCGGUGCGUAGUCAGACUUAGGCCACGUUUGGAUACUCCCUACUAAAGUUUAGCACCUGUCACAUAGGAUGUUUGGAUACUAAUUAGGAGUAUUAAACAUAGGCUAAUUAUAAAACUAAUUGAACAGAUGGAGUCUAAUUUGCGAGACGAAUCUAUUAAGCCUAACUAGUCCAUGAUUUGACAAUGUGGUGCUACAGUAACCAUUUGCUAAUGGUGGAUUAAUUAGGCUUAAUAGAUUCGUCUCGCGAAUUAACAUAGGGUUCUGCAAUUAAUUUUAUAAUUAGCUCAUGUCUAGUCCUUCUAAUUAGCAUCCGAACAUCUGAUAUGAUACUGCUAAAGUUUAUCACCUAGUAUCCAAAUACCCCCUUAAUGCACGAUGCCUGUGCAUCCACUGGGCCUACCCUCGUGGAUCACGCGCUCGUGGAUCACGCGCACCAUGACAUGGCUCAUUAGCUAGUCGUGCUAAUCCUUACCACCAAAUUAAAAACUAGCAUGUGUUGUGUGUUUGUGACCCUAAACGACUACCACCUUCCCGAGUCCACCGGAGUUGCCAGUUCACCACUAAGCUGACUCUCCGAGCUUCAUGUCACUGUCACCGCUCCAAAGACCUAGAUCGGUUCGCUGUGCACCCCGCUUCGUCCUGAGCUAAAUCCCAUCACGAAAGGUGACCGGAUGCUCGUUUUCGAGCGAAUUCUAGCGAGAUUGCCACCACCUUUCCCCUUCCAGCCGAUCGCAGCUGUCUGAUCACAAACCGACAGCCCAGAUCGGAUUUGACCAGGUCAAUACCGGUCAAGCCGAGAUGCAUGCUGCUUUUGCAAGAAGGCCCCUAUUUUUCUCUCUUUUUGCACUUGAGGUCCUACGCAGUUCAAAAGUAAUUAGAUCUAGAUCCUUUUUCUUCUGUUUUAGCCCUGUUCUUUUAUAAAAUCCCACCCGCCAUCCUGUUUGGUAUUUUGACAUGUUAGACCUUCUAUUUAUAUGUUUAAUUAGGUUUUAGCCCUUGGUUUCUUUAAGUUUAGCUCUUGGAAGUUUAGUUUUCUCGCAGUUAAGCCCCUGAACCUUGUUUAGUUCAUAUCUUUAGCGUUUUAAAUCCGUUUUAAGAGAUUCUUACGCCCAUAAGUUCGUGUUGAUGCAUAGAUUAGUUGACUUAUACGGACCUUGCUGAUUCAGCUCCUUCAUUGUGCUUCAGAUCUCGCUAGUGAAGAAUAAUGGAUGGGCUUUGGUUGAGCUUGUAGAUCGACCUGCAGUUGCAGUGAAUGUGCUGAGGACUGGCGGUACCAAUAAUGGGAGGCCGCUGCUCUGCUUGCUACCAAGGCCUGCGACGCUUGGACGCCAUUCAGAGUGCAUAAUUUCCAAGGAUCUCAAGGGCUCCACACCACGUUCCAAGUGUUUUUUCUUUGCCGAGUGUUUUUAGCUCGGCACUUGGCAAAGAGCUUGUUUGCCGAGUGUCCGAAAAAAACACUUGGCAAAGAGAAAACACUCGGCAAAUUUGAUGUUUCCCGUAGUGAUGUACUAUUCAAACUUGAACUGGGAUGCAGGCUUCAGUACCAAAGAGAGCUCUGGGCGCGGGUGAGCAGUGAGCUGGCCGGGCAGGGAGCUCCAAAGCGACAGCAACAAAGAGAGAAAUGCUAAGAGUAAGAACGACACACGAGGUCACUUCACAUAGAUAAUAGCAGUACGAACCAUACAAUAUCCUCUCUCAGUUUCACUCCGCCUCACACACGGCUAGCACACCAUGCAUGCCGAUUUCAUAUUAUUAAUAUUAUUUUUUGGAUGGUUGUUGAAACUAUAUAUAUAGUUAGUCCAAUCUCACGUUUCCGAUUAUAAAAAUCAACGUAAAGAGAUCGGUAGGGAGAGCCGGCAUAAUGAAGCCGACGCGUGUAAUAAGCACCAGAGCCGGCAUUUAUACAAACUGGUACGAAUAGUAAAAAACUAGAAUUUAUAAAUAAAAAAAUGAUUUGCACAUCUAUGCAAUAAUUAGGGGUUAGUGGCAGGUCUAGAGAGAUAUCUCAUCAUUAUAUCCGGUUUAACGAGGAUAAAAAAGAGUGUAUUUUCCACUCAUCAUGUUGUCUUUUCGCAGCGGUACCACUUUUCGUGUGUUGUAUCGGUCCCCUAAUACGGAGUCUCCGAGGCCCGAGAAAAUAAGGAAAGUGAUAGUAGCCCAGAAAUCGGCCAAGUUUCUUUCCCCUUUGGCUUUCCUACUAGGAUUCAGAAUCCUCUUUCGCAUGACAAUCUUAAUUAUCUCCCAUACUCCAAAACUCACAAAAACAUCAAGAGUCCGCUGAGAAUAAAUUUAAGUAAAAAACAUGCACACACAGAUAAUAAUAAUAAUCAUGUUUCCAUAAAAUUGCUAAGUCCAGAGAUAAUACAUAAACAUAGUAGACUGUUCAUGACACAUAUCACGGUGGACAGUGUUUGUGUCCUUAUUACAAGCAACGAGAGAUGCUCGUCACCAACACGCGCGCGCACAGAUGCACGACAUACAUAUAGUAGAGACCAACAGAUGGUCGUCCCAUAUGGUGAACAAUUUAUUGGAGAUAAAUAUUAACGUAACUUGGCCAUAGCUUGAAGCAUAGCAACAUAUGCCUAUGAGUGGCAUUCAUGCUAUCGUUUUAGGCUUGUCCAGCUCCUUCCAUCUUAGCAAGCACUUCCAUUUCUACCAUCUUAGCAGCAACUGUCAAAUUGAGAUACGGAAAUCCCAUUAGCGCAUGAGUUAAUUUUGCAGUGGAAAUAGAGUACAAGAUGUCUUCAUGAUGUAAGUAAUAUGCCUGAAGUUGUGAGAUGGGAAGUGAAGUCAACAAAUUACAUUAACGGAAAUGCAUGGAAGGCCACACAUACGUAUUAGUCCAUGAUAUGCUACAAAGCUUGUAUGUACAUAUAGCAAAUUAAAUGCAUUAAUUGAAUAGAGUGUGUUUAGUGAAUUUACCAGAAUCGUCCAGAAAACAUGGGAAACAGCAAGUGUUCUUGCAGACUGCGUCGGAGGCACCCGCACGAAUACAAAGCUGACAACAUAGUUUUGCCUGGGCGGAUGCGCAGCAGCCGCACUCCGCCGCGGUGGGGUUAACAUUGAGGCUCAAGAUGACCAGGCACAUGAUCACCAUCAAAGUGGUAGUCCUCUUUCCCUCCAUUGCCUCCUCUUAGCUUGCUGCUACCUUCCUUGGUUACCUAGCUAAGUUUAUUGGUUUUGUGUUGAGAGGUGUGAUUCUUGAAUGGACGUUGCCGGCGGCAAUUUAUAGGCAGCUGAGCUAUGUGAUGAUAUGGACUAGGUGCAAAUGGGUGGUUAAUGGCAAGGAAAGGGGCGUCAGACAAAGCCCAAUGGCAACUGCUGACAUGCGAUUAAAUUCAGAUCCACAUCCGGCCAUUCAAU
rnacentral:lncRNA from 1 species